rnacentral:lncRNA from 1 species
GCAGUGCGGCGGGGCGUGCGUGGUGGAGCCUGAUCGUGUGGGGUGGCACGGAGGAACGCUGCCCAGUGUGGGCGGGGCGUGCGCCGUGCCGGGUUCGUCUGACAGAUCCCAGGGGAGCCCACGCCCCACGUGGCCGCCAAGGGGUGACAUGGGCACUCGAUGGGGUCUGGGCAGAAAGCCGUGCUCCCCUCACCUCCGUGCCUCUGGUCUUCUGGUACAGCAGGGUCCCGGGGAGUCCAGGAGGCGGCGGAGUGCGGCACUGUCUGGAGAGUUCAGUGUAUUGCAGAGAGGUUGGAGAAAAUCAAGUCUUGCACGUGGCGAUGGCUCAAGAUUCCCUGAGGUCUUCAGUGCUGACUAAGGAGUCUGAAAUGAUGAUUCAUGUUUUACCUUUGGGGCUGAGCCAAGUGCAUCUCUUUGAGCAAUCGUCUUAAUUUCCUUGUCGUCACCAAUUAUCAUAACCAAUUAUCAUCGUAAAGGAUGGUAAUUCCUUUAAUUAUACCCACCUUAAAAACAUGAUUCUGUUCCACAAACGAAAGGAGCACAUCAGAGAUGCCUUCAGUUCUGUGUGCUUGAACUUUGAAUUCCAUGAAUUAUAGUUGCACUGAGGGGAGAAUCCUGUUUCCAUCCUCCUGGUUCCUUCUCCCUUUCCUGUCCCCAUGUUUCUCUGAGGCCUGGCAAUGCUCUCUGGAUACUUGGUGAGUAGCCCAGGAGGACUCAGGAGUGAGAGGCCCCUGCCUCCUGCGCUGGGAGAAGGCUGUGGGUGGGCCGUGAACCCGGCCUUGAGUGGCAGGACAGUGAGUGUCUGCUGGUGUGUUCCUACAGCAGACGGACUGGACUGAGCCCU